rnacentral:tRNA from 1 species
GUCCUGAUAGUAUAAAUAUUACACUGGUCUUGUAAACCAGAGAUGAAAACCAAUUUUCUCAGGAUA